rnacentral:rRNA from 1 species
AUUGAACGCUGGCGGCAUGCCUUACACAUGCAAGUCGAACGGCAGCACGGGAGCAAUCCUGGUGGCGAGUGGCGAACGGGUGAGUAAAGCAUCGGAACGUGCCCAGUCGUGGGGGAUAACGUAGCGAAAGCUACGCUAAUACCGCAUACGAUCUGUGGAUGAAAGCGGGGGACCGUAAGGCCUCGCGCGAUUGGAGCGGCCGAUGUCAGAUUAGGUAGUUGGUGAGGUAAAGGCUCACCAAGCCGACGAUCUGUAGCUGGUCUGAGAGGACGACCAGCCACACUGGGACUGAGAGACGGCCCAGACUCCUACGGGAGGCAGCAGUGGGGAAUUUUGGACAAUGGGCGCAAGCCUGAUCCAGCAAUGCCGCGUGCAGGAUGAAGGCCUUCGGGUUGUAAACUGCUUUUGUACGGAGCGAAACGGCUUCCACUAAUACUGGGGGCUAAUGACGGUACCGUAAGAAUAAGCACCGGCUAACUACGUGCCAGCAGCCGCGGUAAAAC